CUCAGGUUGGGGGGUCCCUUAGCCUGGAUUGCAGAGGGCACAGGCCAGGCCAAGGGACUCCACCAGUGCACA
rnacentral:pre_miRNA from 1 species